rnacentral:misc_RNA from 1 species
AAACCUCAACCUCCUUGGUUUCUUCUGGAGACCAAAGCAGGCUUGGACUUUGGAGGCCUUUGCUGGUACCUCUCGCCAGCUCCUCUUAAAUGAAUUAGCAGGGUCCUCUUUGCUGAUCCUCGACGUGUGAUAAGAUGUUUCCAUGUCUUGGUUUCUGGCUCUGUCACCUUUGGGACCCGCUUCUAACCGUCUUCAACCUUGCGUUGAGACAACGUUCGAGCAUGUCUCCCUUCUCGGGAAGCUCCCUCGACCCCACGAAC